UACGUAGGGACCAAGCGUUGUUCGGAUUUACUGGGCGUAAAGCGCGUGUAGGCGGCUCGGUAAGUCUGCUGUGAAAGUCCAAGGCUCAACCUUGGAAAGCCGGUGGAUACUGUCGAGCUCGAGUCCGGAAGAGGCGAGUGGAAUUCCUGGUGUAGCGGUGAAAUGCGCAGAUAUCAGGAGGAACACCAAUGGCGAAGGCAGCUCGCUGGGACGGUACUGACGCUGAGACGCGAAAGCGUGGGGAGCAAACAGG
rnacentral:rRNA from 1 species